rnacentral:lncRNA from 1 species
UGGGUUGGUUGUCCUCAUAAUCAAAGAGUGUGGAGACACUGGUAUGGCAUACAGGUGAGAUGUAAUGGUACAUCUGCACUGAACGUGACCAACUCUGGAGCUAUUUCUGCUAUCAAGAUUUGCUCCGAUGGGAUAUGGGUAUAAAUGUCCCUCCGACCUGAGACCGCCACGGUGACUUGCAAGCAACUCACUGCACUUAGGCACUGGACUANN